CACACUGUAAACGAUGAUAACUCGCUGCCGGCGAUACACAGUCGGUAGCCAAGCGAAAGCGAUAAGUUAUCCACCUGGGGAGUACGACCGCAAGGUUGAAACUCAAAGGAAUUGACGGGGGCCCGCACAAGCGGAGGAACAUGUGGUUUAAUUCGAUGAUACGCGAGGAACCUUACCCGGGCUCGAACGGUGCAUGAAUGUUCAAGAGAUUGGAUAGUCCUUCGGGACAUGUAUCGAGGUGC
rnacentral:rRNA from 1 species